UACGUAGGGUGCGAGCGUUGCCCGGAUUUAUUGGGCGUAAAGGGCGCGUAGGCGGCCACGCACGUCCGUUGUGAAAUCGCCCGGCUCAACUGGGCGGGGUCAGCGGAUACGGUGUGGCUCGAGCAAGCUAGGGGGCAAUGGAAUUCCCGGUGUAGUGGUGGAAUGCGUAGAUAUCGGGAGGAACACCAGUGGCGAAGGCGGUUGCCUGGAGCUUUGCUGACGCUUAGGCGCGAAAGCGUGGGGAGCGAUCCGG
rnacentral:rRNA from 1 species